rnacentral:rRNA from 1 species
GAUGAACGCUGGCGGCGUGCCUAAUACAUGCAGGUCGAGCGAACAGACGAGGAGCUUGCUCCUCUGAUGUUAGCGGCGGACGGGUGAGUAACACGUGGAUAACCUACCUAUAAGACUGGGAUAACUUCGGGAAACCGGAGCUAAUACCGGAUAACAUGUUGAACCGCAUGGUUCAACAGUGAAAGACGGUCUUGCUGUCACUUAUAGAUGGAUCCGCGCCGCAUUAGCUAGUUGGUAAGGUAACGGCUUACCAAGGCAACGAUGCGUAGCCGACCUGAGAGGGUGAUCGGCCACACUGGAACUGAGACACGGUCCAGACUCCUACGGGAGGCAGCAGUAGGGAAUCUUCCGCAAUGGGCGAAAGCCUGACGGAGCAACGCCGCGUGAGUGAAGAAGGUCUUCGGAUCGUAAAACUCUGUUAUUAGGGAAGAACAAAUGUGUAAGUAACUAUGCACGUCUUGACGGUACCUAAUCAGAAAGCCACGGCUAACUACGUG